GGCUUGUAGCUCAGGUGGUUAGAGCGCACCCCUGAUAAGGGUGAGGUCGGUGGUUCAAGUCCGCUGCGCUCGAGUCG
rnacentral:tRNA from 1 species